rnacentral:rRNA from 1 species
GACGAACGCUAGCGGCGUGCUUAACACACGCAAGUCGAGCGGUAAGGCCCUUCGGGGUACACGAGCGGCGAACGGGUGAGUAACACGUGGGUGAUCUGCCUUGCACUUCGGGAUAAGCCUGGGAAACUGGGUCUAAUACCGGAUAUGACCCCGAAUCGCAUGGUUUGGGGUGGAAAGAUUUAUCGGUGCGAGAUGGGCCCGCGGCCUAUCAGCUUGUUGGUGAGGUAACGGCUCACCAAGGCGACGACGUGUAGCCGACCUGAGAGGGUGACCGGCCACACUGGGACUGAGACACGGCCCAGACCCCUACGGGAGGCAGCAGUGGGGAAUAUUGCACAAUGGGCGCAAGCCUGAUGCAGCGACGCCGCGUGCGGGAUGACGGCCUUCGGGUUGUAAACCGCUUUUGACAGGGACGAAGCGCAAGUGACUGUACCUGUAGAAUAAGGACCGGCCAACUACGUGCCAGCAGCCGCGGUAAUACGUAGGGUCCGAGCGUUGUCCGGAAUUACUGGGCGUAAAGAGCUUGUAGGCGGUUCGUCGCGUCGUUUGUGAAAACUUGGGGCUCAACCUUAAGCUUGCAGGCGAUACGGGCGGACUAGAGUACUUCAGGGGAGACUGGAAUUCCUGGUGUAGCGGUGAAAUGCGCAGAUAUCAGGAGGAACACCGGUGGCGAAGGCGGGUCUCUGGGAAGUAACUGACGCUGAGAAGCGAAAGCAUGGGUAGCAAACAGGAUUAGAUACCCUGGUAGUCCAUGCCGUAAACGGUGGGUACUAGGUGUGGGGCUCCUUCCACGGACUCCGUGCCGUAGCUAACGCAUUAAGUACCCCGCCUGGGGAGUACGGCCGCAAGGCUAAAACUCAAAUGAAUUGACGGGG